AUGGGUGUGGCGGCUGCAAUAUGUCGAGAUCACACAGGAGAAUACCUUGGCUCAUCGGCUGUUGUGUUCAGUGGCAUCACGGAUCCUUUGAUCCUUGAAGUAUAUGCAUGUAGAGAGGCAAUGGCCCUGGCUGAAGACCUCAACAUCCACAGGCUACGCAUUGCAAAUGAUUGUCAAGGGGUGAUCGCGGACAUCAACUCCGGAAGCAGGGGACCACAUGCAGCGAUUCUACAUGAAAUAUCAGAACGGAAGAGUCUUUUUCUUUCUUGCAAUUUUGUUUUCGAACGUAGAAAUUUUAAUUUCGAGGCUCAUGAUCUCGCCAAGUUUGCUAGUAGUCUUUCGGUUGGUCGUCAUGUCUAG
rnacentral:rRNA from 1 species